UCAUAUUUGAGUUAUUAAUGUUAUUAUUAAUUUAUAUUUCCAUUCUUCCCGUUUCAUCCUCAACAAUAAAUCAAACAACUAAAUACGAGAUACGAUACGAUAGAUACGAGUGCCACUACCACGAUAGUUUUUUGUGCAUAAGUCAUAGUUCGCAGCAAUCGCAACCCUAGAGCGACCGCCGAGCGUAGGUAUGAAAAGUAAAGUACAUACAUGUGAUUGACUUCUGUACUUAUCUAUUUUGUGUCAGCAUUGAUCAUUUAAUGCUAAUUUUUCCAGUUUUUUUAUAAUUGUUCCAUUAUCAAAGGAUACUGUGUCAAACUGUGUAAAUAUAGGAUCGUGCAAAACCUAUAAUAUAAUUCAUAAUAUUUUGUGAUGAGUACUGUAAUUAUUAAAAUUACAUAUCUAUGUAAAUAUUAAUUAUUCUAAAGAACUUAGUGUAAAGAAAAUAAUUGAUUGGUAUAAUUUGAUUGCCGUUUAAUCAAAAUAAUUUUUAAAUAUAUAUCCAAUUCUCUUAUACCUACUCACUCAGUUAUGGUAUAGUAUACAAAAUUACUAAAGAAAUAGUGUAUCCUCAUAUAUGGCAAAGUUUCUCAUUUUGACAUAAAAAUACCUCGUUCCCGAAAAUGCUAAAGAUGACAAAAAAUAAAGAAUACAGACCAUAAAGGUUUAGUACCACUGGUUCUACUUUUUUGAUCUUCAACGUAGGCCGCCGCCAUGUGCUUUAGAUCGUGGGUCGCGAGCAGUUUGCACUUUUUUUAAAUAAUUAUACCUAAAUCCAUCUCUUUUUUCUUCUAAUGAGUUAUGGGCCUUAAUCCGUAAAAUUAAUGAUUGAAUGCACAAAAUGUUAAUUAGUUAUAUAGUUACUUGUACGAGAGCUGUCGCAAGAACUUUGUGCUUAUACAGUAUGUGUCUGACCACGGGGCUUUAAUUCCAGGGUCUGAUUUUACUCGCUAAACUGAGCUACUUUUACUAUGGGACCAACCCUAAAAUCAGGGAUUUUUUUUUUGUUUUUCCAUAGAAAACACAUCUGAUCAGCCAAUAUGUAUGAAACGGUAAAAAUUUUUUUGGGAUUUCGGGGUUGGUGCCAUAAUAAAAGUAGCUCAGUUUAGCGUGUUAAAUCGAGCCCUGGAUUUAAAGCCCCAUGGUCAGUAACACCCUGUAUAGCCUGUACAUUUUAUACCAGUCAAUUAAUACUUUCAGCGCAGAGUACAAGGGCAGCUGUAAUUAUAUGCUUAAGGCACUUUUCUAAUACGUAAUACGUGAUUGUGAAUUGUAAAUAGUUUCUUAUUCAAAUAUUCAGCAUUUUUACCAUAAAAAACACCUUAAUAUGUGGGCAAAAUCUACAAAAAAAAGAUUUUUUAUUUUAACUACAACUCAAAAAUAUGUAGUGGUAGUUACAUAAGAAUAAAUUAACAUCACGUAAAUGAGUUUAAUACUUUAAAAAAUGUAUUUAUAAUAUGUUUAAUUUCAUUAAUAUCUCUACAUUUCUUUUAUCCUGAAAAUUAAGUGGAUGCCCAAAAAAAUAUGCCUGUCCCUUUUGUUGACACUUGACACUUCUUGUCGUAAUAAGUGUUAAGUAGUGACACUAGCGGCAUCGCACCAGCUUGAAAUGAAGAUCUAAGUCAAGCAUUUUUUUAUAUUGCCCAUGAAAAUGCUUUGAAAACUAUUAGCACAAUAUUGACCAUUCUUAUGAAUACUUAUAAUCCUUCUAUAGAUUUUAUUUUAUAUAAACACCCGUUUAAUUAAACAACUUUUGGAAUCUUGUUUUCAAACUCGAUAGGUACUACAGAGGGCCUACCAGGUUCGACGUGUUGCCUCUCUGUCGCACUUGUAAAUUCGUACGUAAGUGUGACAGGGAGGCAACACGUCGAACGUGGUUCGCGGUAGGCUCUCAGGUGUCAUCUCCAUAUAAUUUAUAACCUAAAAAUGCCUCGCAUUCGAUAUCGCAAAAUUGUAUUGGAAUGACGUCUGUUUGCGUACCCAUCGAGUGUGAAAAAUACUAUAGUAAGUUUUACAAGGUUUCAUUAGUUUGGUAAUAUAGCUGGUGUCAAGUACAUAGUAUACAUUCCUGUUAGUCUCUAGUCUUCCCUGGGUUCGAGUCUCGGCGCUGUCAAGAUUUACGUCGGCGAUACUCAAGGGGUUACAGAUGUAGUGCAUAAUUGUUUUCCAUCGUAUUUUCUCGGAAACGUUCGUAUUUGUCAUGCUACUUCAGACAACCUCAAUACUUAAAUGUAAAUAUAUUUUCACCACACCAGCUCGGAAAGGCUUACUUUGCACUUCAAAAACUGAUAGCAAAGUUGCAUUUUAUCCACAUGUGAGGCAAAGUAAACAAAUGCAAAUUUUGAGUUGUUUUCUUAUGUUUGCUGGUAGAAUUGACUUUUAAAUUAUGAUUUUGGAUGAUAAAUAUUUAAUAACAUUCAUUUGGAUUUGAUUUGGUUUGAUUUUGUUUGAUAUUUUACAUUUAAAAUUUGCUUCGGGUUGGUGUGGUGAAAAUUUUUGUGUUUCACUCGGGGGCAAAUUUUGUUUAACCCUCGUGCUUUGAAACCCUCGCAACGCUCAAGAUUCCAUUUUCGAACCACUCGCUACGCUCGUGGUUCAAUUUUGGAAUCUUUCGCUUGCUCGGGUAUCAAUAUUAGCACGAGCGGUUAAACAACAACUUUGCCCCCUUGUAAAACAAUAGUUAUUUGUUUACAUAAUUUAAAAGUCAAUUCUACCAGCAAACAUAAGAAAACAACUCAAAAUUUGCAUUUGAUUACUUUGCCUCACACGUGGAUAAAAUGCAACUUUGCUAUUCGUUUUUGAAGUGCAAAGUAAUUCUUUCCGAGCUGGUGUGGUGAAAAUAACUAUUUUCACACACACACAAUUUAUAGAACCUCAGUACUUUUUGUUUCGUGACUGACUGAAAUAACAAGACACGUUCGUACGUUUCCGUGAAAAUACGAAGGAACAUAAUGAUGCACUACAACUGCACUAAAUUAAGUUCGUUGAAAAUUAAAUUGCUUUCAAUUGAAAACAUGAUUUUAUUUUGUUUCGUUUAUGUUCUAACGAUACAAAAUUAACUCUAUUUCCUACACUGUAUGUUCAAAUUUCACUGGCAAAUUUUCUUACUCUUGUAUGGGCCUUACGAAGCUAUAGGUAAUAUUUUUGCAUGUGAAAUUCUAUCAAAUUUCAACAAUAAUCUUGGCAGCUCCGAGAUUGGAGUCCUAUCAGCCCCAUGUGUACAAGAAUAAUGAUUGUGACAGAUUUGAUAUUUUAUAAACAAUUAUACAGCAAAAUGUUAUUUACGAAAUCGGACAAUAUUUUCUCGACUAUCCCAAUAGAUAACUACGGUUAAUAUAGAGAUACAUAUAUGAAUACAUCCACAAAGCAAUAUUUUUAGAAUUUAGUUGUAUUCCAGGGAGCGUGCAUGGACUGUAGAGGGCAGCACUAGAGUCCCCAUGUUUAUUGUCGCGAAAUGUAGUCAAGCUUAAGUUUCAAAUUUGCGCCGCAAGAUGGCAGAACUUGCAAUGAGCAAGGUAGCGUGUAUGAACUUUAUGGGGCAGCACCGACUUUUAAGUGUGGGUGUCAAGUUUAAGUUUCCGAUUUAGGCCACAAGAUGGCAGAUCCUCCAACGCGCACGGUCCCUGUACUGCAUUAUCAAUGGGGUUGGCCGGUCUAAGGGCCAGUUGCAAAAACCACAUUUGACAGACUGAUCAACGUCAGCCGGCGCGCCACUAUGAAUCUUUCCACACAUACAAAUUUAGCGAACUCUUUAACGAUACGAACAGUUUGGUGCAACCGACCCUAAGUGUUUAGCAGAUGGCGCCAGCAUAGCUUACCCUGUCAAUCCCUAGAAUUGUGUCAAAUUUUUGUGUUUAUCAUGGAAAUUUUAGGGCCUGGAUGCCGGCCCUUUUAGCCAAAUCUCAUGGAAAAAGGGGCAAGCUAUGAUGGCGCCAUCUAUGCAAACCUUUGACAGUUGCCAACCCCAUUAUCCCUUUUCCUUGCAAUAUAGAAUUUUCUUCAUUUUGCGCUUAUUGUGAUGGCGUUUUUCUGAAUACUACAUGGUAAAACAUGGCUGAAUUAUUAUAUUUUAUUUACUUACCCAUAUUAUAUUCUAUCACAGUAUGAUUUUGAAUCCACGCGGUUCGAAAUUACUGCUACAUAUUUGCUUUAACCUUUUGACCGCCAUUGACUUGAUAUAAAGUCAGUGCAUUUCGUGUGCCACACGCCACGACUUGAUAUGUUAUACGGGUCUUGUCUACGUGCAAUUUGUGGCUUGGCGUUGAUGACACUAUUACUCCAAUGACGUGGCGCAGUGGCGGAUUGGUCCUAAGGCCCAGGGCGGCAAGAUGUUAGGGGCGGCAAAUUUUGACAAAAAAUUCGCUGAUGAUAACAAGAAAUAACUCAAAAUGUAGUCAAUAUGAUUGGUGCUGAGAAAGGGGCGGGGCGACAGACUGCAAAUCCGCCAUUGUGGCGGCGAAAAGGUUAAAAUAAAAUGUUAAAAUCUUUACCUUUGUACAUUUUUAAUUUGACUAAUCUGACUUAAACGGUAGCCCGUUCUAAUUCGCAAUUAAUUUGCUGUCUAUUUAUUACGAUUUCUACUUAGGCUAUGAUUUACGUUAGUCACGCGCACGCGCGUAUCGGUGCAUAAUGUUUUUUGCUCUAGUUUAGCUUUAUUGUUACGGUUUGUAUUUAAAAACUGACAUAAAAUAUAUUUUGAGCUGAGCUCUUAUAGUCAUAAACUGAGAAUAAAAUGGUUUCAAAUUAUGUUUUAUUAUUGAUCCUUUGGUAUUAAAUCACUAAUUUUGUUUUUUGAAGAAGUUUUAGUCGAUGUAGGUAAUCAGAAUAGAUUUUAUUAUAGACAAGUCAUCUAAAAUGAUUUGCGACGUUCCAUCAGAUAAAUUCAAUAGAAUUUAUGUUGGAAUUUCUGAUAAAAAGGUUCAUAUUGCACUUGUAGCGUAAUGUAAAGUGUGAUGUAAAGUCACAUUUGAUUGAUUUUGCACUUGAAACCCUUUAUUCUCAGAGUGUGAUAACUGUUUAUACAGAUUUCUGGCAUAAUUUCGAUGUUUGGGUUUGAGAUUCUUUUUUAUUGAAUGUUAACUUUAACAACAUAUUUAUAAUUUUAAUAUUUUUGUUGUUGUUCUCACUAAUUUCAACGAUUAGCUUUAAGACAUAUUUUUAAAAUAGCUACAGAGUAGAAUAUUGAUCUUAAAAUGUGUACAAUUUAAUAAGAUAAUCAAGCAAUCUGACAAUAUAAAAAUAUCGAGCUAGACUCGUUUAAAUGAUAGUUCAAAUUCGCGUGAAAAUCCCUCCGGUCUCAUUAUUCCUAUUUUGUCCUCUGUUGUAAAAUAGUCAAGUAUUACAAAUAUUUCUAUUUCGCCGAUAAAAGAUUGAAAUACCUAUACUCUGUAUCUUUAGGUAUUUAAAUAAAAGUAAACAAAAUCUACCCUCAAAUGGCUCCUUAAGCCAGUUGAGGGUAGAUGAAAACAUUAUACGAUCAAAUAAUGUAGGCUAAAGUCAGGUCGUUCAGUGACAGAUCCAGGUGGUUUUGUAUUUGGUUGGUUAAUCAAUAAAGGUUAUAACUACCUGAAAAUUUACAAUUUUUUGGUUACUUUUAUUUAAAUACCUAAAGAUACAGAGUACACAGUGUCAUUAUAUUGCAGUUCGACUUCUACUCUAUAAAAUAGUUAUAUUGUUCCAUAAUUCCAAUUCACCACACAUUCCUGACAGACUGCACGUCGAAUGAAAGGCUUCAUGAAUAUUUUUGUACUGUGACCGACAAAUUCAUUUACUGCAUUAUUUGUGUUGUAAAUAAAUAAUAUGAAAGUUA